UUUAUUGUAAAUGCAUCUGGUACAUUAACAUUAUAACAGGUAAAUGAUUUUUGUAUUGUAUUAAGUAGUCAAUAGGUGUUCCAAGCGAUUAUGUGCUGAAACACAACAGGCAGUGCUAUACGGUACGUAUAAAUGUAUAUAUGUUUAUUUGAAUUUAUUUUCUCGUUAUAUAUGAGUCAUGAAGAUCACUGGUAGCAAAAUUUUGUCAACCUACAUGCGUACGAUAGACCUUUUUUUCUUUCAUUUUCAAGGAUUUUCAGUGCUAUGGUCAUUAAACCUCAUGUUUGUGCAUAACGUUUUGAUAAUAUUUUGAGUCACACGAAAAGGAUUAUGGUUAUUCACGGUAUCGUCAUGAAAGAGAAGAAAAUUUUGCUUUCUACUUCUCCAUCUUUAUACAAGAUAUGUCGUAAACUUCUGGAAAAAGGAAUUGAGUUCAAAAUAAACUCUUUACAAAAAUGUGUAGAUUGGACACAUAAAUUUAUGUCAGAUACAAACUGGAGGAAAAAUCCCAUUCGAAACAACUUUUUAAUAUAUCGACAAUUAAUAACAUUAAAACCAAUUUUUCCCAUUCAAUUAGUAAGUCGUUCAAAAUAAAAUGAAAACUAAAUGUUUCAUAUGUAAACCAGAUAUAAAAAUGGACGAUUAGUCAUAUUCGUCUUGAGACAACAUGCAUUUUCUUUAUCCAUAAAAUGUUAGGAGUACAACUCGACUGGAAAAAAUUGCCAUAUGUUGUUACGGUUUCAAAAUCACUACCUCAAUUUUAAGUAAACCCCCAGUAGAUAUAAUGGAGAUAGGGAAAGUCUAUAAAAUUCCACAUAGUUCAUAGUUAACUUAAGAUACAACAAAAAUAAUUUAUUUCGUAUUACGAUUUAUUAUGACCCUGUAUAAGUCAGGAAUAUGAAACGAGUCUUCGUAUCUUCUUCAGAAAGAAAACGUCUCUUCCUUCAUUUUUUGGUUUUGGACCAGACACGGGAAGAACAUCGCAAUUUUGCGGAUUUUAAAGAAGGAUUUAUGUAGGAAUUACUCGAAACUUUCAAAUUGAAGUUUACCUUGUCGAAGAACUCGGACAUUUCAAAAGGCCACACUCCAUCUCAGGUAUGAACAAACAUUUUGUGUUUUAUUGAUACGACCUUCCUGCUUGCAAAAAAUUAUGUUCAGACAAGUAUGAAUUUUUAGGCCUUCAUUAUCCAUUUGCCUGUUCGUUGCUAACUGAUAACGCCCUUAAAAUCUCCCCAACUUUGAGAAAAGCGGUUGGCGAAUCUCCACUUCUUGGACACCUAGAUGACUCACCACUGUUAGUAGCGACAUAAGAGCGGAUGAUCGUAAGCCUCAUGUCUCAAAGAAGGUAAUAUUGUUUUUUUUUAUCGUUCAUUUCGGUCAGAACGGGACGCAUUAGCAUCAAAGGAAUAGCACUACCAAAACUGUCAGCGCUACUGCGAAACCCACUUCAUCUAGCUAUAAAGUACCUACUUUUACUUAGUUUCGAUUAUAUGUAUUAGUUUAGUGUAUUGUGGUGAAAUUUUGAAACCUUUGCUACCUUUAAACAACUGUAAACUGAUGGUAUGCAUACUAGAGGUUAGAUAAUUCAUCAGUUGAAUUAGACAACGAGGAAAUCAUUGUGACAAAAUCCUUCAUUUUAAUAUCAUUUAUUUUUCCUGGUGAAUGAAUCAAAUUUUGUAGAUUGGUCACGGAAGCUAGAACUGACAAUCUUCGUUACAAUUUUUCUUUACCUUCUAUCAUUGUUAAAUAAACUGUUUUUCUUUAUAUUUGACCGACGCUCUCUUUCCCAUAACUUUCAUCAAUAAAAGAUUCGCAAAUUAA